AGUCAAUAGAUACCCUGGUAGUCCAUGCCGUAAACGAUGAUUGCUAGGUGUGGGGGGUCUGACCCCUUCCGUGCCGGAGUUAAACACAAUAAGCAAUCCACCUGGGGAGUACGGCCGCAAGGUUGAAACUCAAAGGAAUUGACGGGGGCCCGCACAAGCAGUGGAGUAUGUGGUUUAAAUUCGAAGCAACGCGAAGAACCUUACCAGGUCUUGACAUCCACCGAAUCCUGUAGAGAUACGGGAGUGCCCUUCGGGGAACGGUGAGACAGGUGGUGCAUGGUUGUCGUCAGCUCGUGUCGUGAGAUGUUGGGUUAAGUCCCGCAACGAGCGCAACCCUUGUGAAUAGUUGCUACGAAAGAGCACUCUAUUCAGACCGCCGUUGACAAAACGGAGGAAGGUGGGAGUGACGUCAAAUCAUCAUGCCCCUUACUGACCUGGGCUACACACGUACUACAAUGGUCGUCAACAGAGGGAAGCAAGACCGCGAGGUGGAGCGAACCCCUAAAAACCGAAUACUCAGUUCAGAUUGCAGGCUGAAACUACGCCUGC
rnacentral:rRNA from 1 species